rnacentral:rRNA from 1 species
UGCCAGCCGCCGCGGUAAUACGGAGGGUGCGAGCGUUAAUCGGAAUUACUGGGCGUAAAGCGCACGCAGGCGGUUUGUUAAGCUAGAUGUGAAAGCCCGGGGCUCAACCCCGGAUGGUCACUUGAAACGGCAAGACUUGAGUACUGGAGAGGAAAGCGGAAUUCCUGGUGUAGAGGUGAAAUUCGUAGAUAUUCGGUGGAACACCAGUGGCGAAGGCGGCUAACUGGACUGAUACUGACGCUGAGGUGCGAAAGUGUGGGGAGCAAACAGGAUUAGAUA